rnacentral:rRNA from 1 species
GUUCCUGGCUCAGGAUGAACGCUAGCUACAGGCUUAACACAUGCAAGUCGAGGGGCAGCAUGACCUAGCAAUAGGUUGAUGGCGACCGGCGCACGGGUGAGUAACACGUAUCCAACCUACCGGUUAUUCCGGGAUAGCCUUUCGAAAGAAAGAUUAAUACCGGAUAGUAUAACGAGAAGGCAUCUUCUUGUUAUUAAAGAAUUUCGAUAACCGAUGGGGAUGCGUUCCAUUAGUUUGUUGGCGGGGUAACGGCCCACCAAG